rnacentral:rRNA from 1 species
AUUGAACGCUGGCGGCAGGCCUAACACAUGCAAGUCGAGCGAGCGGCGGACGGGUGAGUAAUGUCUGGGAAACUGCCUGAUGGAGGGGGAUAACUACUGGAAACGGUAGCUAAUACCGCAUACCCUCAGAUGUGCCCAGAUGGGUUUAGAUAGUCGGUGGGGUAACGGCUCACCUAGGCGACGAUCCCUAGCUGGUCUGAGAGGAUGACCAGCCACACUGGAACGAGGACACGGUCCAGACUCCUACGGGAGGCAGCGGUGGGAAAUAUUGCACAAUGGGCGCAAUCCUGAUGAAGCAAUGCGGGGUGGGUGUAGAAGGCCUUGGGUUUGUAAAGCACUUUCAGCGGGGAGGCGUUACCCGCAUAAGAAGCACCGGCUAACUCCGUGCCAGCCGCCGCGGUAAUUC